AGCCCAAGCGGUAGAACACACCAAAAUGCAAAUUUGGAGACGUACCCNAUAAGGUGCCGGGGCUUCUCCCGUCUUACGUUAAACGGGAGAAGC
rnacentral:tRNA from 1 species